UGCAGUCGACGGUAACAUGAGAGCUUGCUCUUGAUGACGAGUGGCGCACGGGUGCGUAACGCGUAUGCAACCUACCUUUUACUGAGGGAUAGCCCAGAGAAAUUUGGAUUAAUACCUCAUAGUAUCAUAAAUGUUCAUGCAUUAAUGAUUAAAACUUCGGUGGUAAAAGAUGGGCAUGCGUAAGAUUAGCUAGUUGGUAAGGUAACGGCUUACCAAGGCAACGAUCUUUAGGGGGCCUGAGAGGGUGGUCCCCCACACUGGUACUGAGACACGGACCAGACUCCUACGGGAGGCAGCAGUGAGGAAUAUUGGUCAAUGGACGCAAGUCUGAACCAGCAGCCGCGGUAAUACG
rnacentral:rRNA from 1 species